rnacentral:rRNA from 1 species
UACGGAGGAUGCAAGCGUUAUCCGGAUUUAUUGGGUUUAAAGGGUUCGUAGGCGGGAGAUUAAGUCAGUGGUGAAAGCCUGCAGCUCAACUGUAGAACUGCCAUUGAAACUGAUUUUCUUGAAUUUAUAUGAAGUGGGCGGAAUGCGUCAUGUAGCGGUGAAAUGCACAGAUAUGACGCAGAACACCGAUAGCGAAGGCA